CGAACGCUGGGCGGCGUACUUAACACAUGCAAGUCGAACGGGGAUCAUCGGGGUAGCAAUACCUCGGUGAUUCUAGUGGCGCACGGGUGAGUAACACGUGGGUAACCUGCCCUCGAGACCGGGAUACCCCCUCGAAAGGGGGGCUAAUACCGGAUACGUUCCCCGAGUCGGAAGACCUGGGGAGGAAAGGUGGCGAAAGCUGCCGCUCUUGGAGGGGCUCGCGGCCUAUCAGCUAGUUGGCGGGGUAAUGGCCCACCAAGGCGAUGACGGGUAGCUGGUCUGAGAGGACGAUCAGCCACACGGGGACUGAGACACGGCCCCGACUCCUACGGGAGGCAGCAGUGGGGAAUUUUCCGCAAUGGGCGAAAGCCUGACGGAGUGACGCCGCGUGUGGGAUGAAGGCCUUCGGGUCGUAAACCACUGUCAGUGGGAAAGAUGGAUGUCGGCGCGAUAACCGCCGGCAUUUGACGGUACCUGCAGAGGAAGCCCCGGCUAACUCUGUGCCAGCAGCCGCGGUAAGACAGAGGGGGCAAGCGUUGCUCGGAAUUACUGGGCGUAAAGGGCGCGUAGGCGGGAUGGCAAGUCGGUCGUGAAAUCCCUCGGCUCAACCGAGGAGCGUCGAUCGAUACUGCCGUUCUUGAGGAUUGCAGAGGAGACUGGAAUUCCCGGUGUAGCGGUGAAAUGUGUAGAUAUCGGGAGGAACACCAGUGGCGAAGGCGAUCUUCUGGUCUGUUUCUGACACUCAGACGCGACAGCUAGGGUAGUAAACGGGAUUAGAGACCCCGGUAAUCCUAGCCGUAAACGAUGUGAACUUGGCGUUGGUGGGUUAAACUCCAUCAGUGCCGUAGCAAACGCGAUAAGUUCACCGCCUGGGGACUACGGCCGCAAGGUUAAAACUCAAAGGAAUUGACGGGGGCCCGCACAAGCAGCGGAGCGUGUGGUUUAAUUCGAUGCUACACGAAGAACCUUACCCAGGCUUGACAUACAGGUGGUAGGGAUCCGAAAGGUGACCGACCCGCAAGGGAGCCUGAACAGGUGUUGCAUGGCUGUCGUCAGCUCGUGUCGUGAGAUGUUCGGUUAAGUCCGCUAACGAGCGCAACCCUCGUCGCGUGUUAUAUGUGUCACGCGAGACCGCCGGUAUUAAGCCGGAGGAAGGUGGGGAUGACGUCAAGUCAGCAUGGCCUUUAUGCCUGGGGCUACACACACGCUACAAUGGCCAGUACAAUGGGUUGCUAAGCCGCGAGGUGGAGCCAAUCACUUAAAACUGGCACUCAGUUCAGAUUGCAGGCUGCAACUCGCCUGCAUGAAGCCGGAGUUGCUAGUAAACGCGCGUCAGCUAUAGUGCGUUGAUACGU
rnacentral:rRNA from 1 species